rnacentral:piRNA from 1 species
AUGUCGAUUGUGUUGGAUUUUGCC